GCCUAGUUAGCUUAGUUGGUAAUGCGUCUGCCUUGUAAGCGCUAGGCCGUGGGUUCGAUUCCCGCCCGGGGCG
rfam:Asian citrus Psyllid, Diaphorina citri - Florida Strain, whole genome shotgun sequence.